UACGUAGGGUGCAAGCGUUGUCCGGAAUUAUUGGGCGUAAAGAGCUCGUAGGCGGUCUGUUACGUCGGCUGUGAAAACCCGCGGCUCAACUGCGGGCCUGCAGCCGAUACGGGCAGGCUAGAGUUCGGUAGGGGAGACUGGAAUUCCUGGUGUAGCGGUGAAAUGCGCAGAUAUCAGGAGGAACACCGGUGGCGAAGGCGGGUCUCUGGACAGUUCCUGACACUGAGGCACGAAGGCCAGGGGAGCAAACGGG
rnacentral:rRNA from 1 species